AACGCACCUUGCACCCUUGGGUAUUCCUAAGGGUACGCCUGUUUGAGUGUCAUUAAAUUCUCAAACUCACGACUUGUUGUAAUGACUUGUUUCGUGGGCUUUGGAUGUGGGGAUUGCUGGACUCCAUUAAGUUGGAGGUCGGCUUCUCUUAAAAGCAUUAGUGGUUUUGUCGGGCCCCAGCUCUUGGUGUUGAUAGUUGCGUCUUCACACCUUACAUAGUCUGGCUAGUCCAUGCGAUGGCAGCUGCUUUCUAACCGUCUUUGAAAAACAAGACAACUUUGAACCAUUUGGCCUCAAAUCAGGUGGGACUACCCGCUGAACUUAA
rnacentral:misc_RNA from 1 species